AGGGGAAUAUUGCACAAUGGGCGCAAGCCUGAUGCAGCCAUGCCGCGUGUAUGAAGAAGGCCUUCGGGUUGUAAAGUACUUUCAGCGAGGAGGAAGGCGUUGUGGUUAAUAACCGCAACGAUUGACGUUACUAGCAGAAGAAGCACCGGCUAACUCCGUGCCAGCAGCCGCGGUAAUACGGAGGGUGCAAGCGUUAAUCGGAAUUACUGGGCGUAAAGCGCACGCAGGCGGUCUGUCAAGUCGGAUGUGAAAUCCCCGGGCUCAACCUGGGAACUGCAUCCGAAACUGGCAGGCUAGAGUCUUGUAGAGGGGGGUAGAAUUCCAGGUGUAGCGGUGAAAUGCGUAGAGAUCUGGAGGAAUACCGGUGGCGAAGGCGGCCCCCUGGACAAAGACUGACGCUCAGGUGCGAAAGCGUGGGGAGCAAACA
rnacentral:rRNA from 1 species